CUACGUGCCAGCAGCCGCGGUAAUACGGAAGGUCCAGGCGUUAUCCGGAUUUAUUGGGUUUAAAGGGAGCGUAGGCCGUGGAUUAAGCGUGUUGUGAAAUGUAGACGCUCAACGUCUGAAUUGCAGCGCGAACUGGUUCACUUGAGUAUGCACAACGUAGGCGGAAUUCGUCGUGUAGCGGUGAAAUGCUUAGAUAUGACGAAGAACUCCGAUUGCGAAGGCAGCUUACGGGAGCACAACUGACGCUGAAGCUCGAAGGUGCGGGUAUCAAACAGGAUUAGAUACCCUGGUAGUCCGCACAGUAAACUAUGGAUGCCCGUUGUUAGUUCACUUAAGAAUUAGCGACCAAGCGAAAGCAUUAAGCAUCCCACCUGGGGAGUACGCCGGCAACGGUGAAACUCAAAGGAAUUGACGGGGGCCCGCACAAGCGGAGGAACAUGUGGUUUAAUUCGAUGAUACGCGAGGAACCUUACCCGGGCUUGAA
rnacentral:rRNA from 1 species